UACGAAGGGGGCUAGCGUUGCUCGGAAUUACUGGGCGUAAAGGGAGCGUAGGCGGGUUAUCAAGUUGGAGGUGAAAGCCCAGGGCUCAACCUUGGAAUUGCCUUCAAAACUGAUAGCCUAGAGUAUGGAAGAGGUAAGUGGAACUCCGAGUGUAGAGGUGAAAUUCGUAGAUAUUCGGAAGAACACCAGUGGCGAAGGCGACUUACUGGACACAUAUUGACGCUGAGGUGCGAAAGCGUGGGGAGCAAACAGG
rnacentral:rRNA from 1 species